rnacentral:rRNA from 1 species
CUAUCGCCGAAGGAGGGGGUUUUUGCGUCUGAUUUAGCUGGUUGGAGGGGUAACGGCCCAACAAGGCGAUGAUCAGUAGCCGGUCUGAGAGGAUGAACGGCCACAUUGGGACUGAGACACGGCCCAGACUCCUACGGGAGGCAGCAGUGGGGAAUCUUCCGCAAUGGACGAAAGUCUGACGGAGCAACGCCGCGUGAGUGAAGAAGGUCUUCGGAUUGUAAAGCUCUGUUAUACGGGACGAAAAAGACGGAUGCCAACAGUAUCCGUCCGUGACGGUACCGUAAGAGAAAGCCACGGCUAACUACGUGCCAGCAGCCGCGGUAAAU